rnacentral:rRNA from 1 species
CCUACGGGUGGCAGCAGUGGGGAAUAUUGCACAAUGGGGGAAACCCUGAUGCAGCGACGCCGCGUGCGUGAAGAAGUAUCUCGGUACGUAAAGCUCUAUCAGCAGGGAAGAAAAUGACGGUACCUGACUAAGAAGCCCCGGCUAACUACGUGCCAGCAGCCGCGGUAAUACGUAGGGGGCAAGCGUUAUCCGGAUUUACUGGGUGUAAAGGGGGCGUAGACGGCAGCACAAGUCUGGAGUGAAAUCCCUGGGCUUAACCCCGGAACUGCUUUUGAAACUGUGCGGCUGGAGUGCAGGAGGGGUAAGCGGAAUGCCUGGUGUAGCGGUGAAAUGCGUAGAGAUUAGGAGGAACACCGGUGGCGAAGGCAGCUUACCAAGCUACUUCUGACGUUGAGGCACGAAAGCGUGGGGAGCAAACAGGAUUAGAUACCCUGGUAGUC